AGCUUCCAUUGUGGAUGAAUUCCUUCCGAAUUUCUAUCGCAGGCAGGCUUUGGUCGAGCCCUUCGACAAAUGAUCCCCACCCGAACUUUUACGGAGAUCGAACUCCGACCGAACUCCUAUAGCUGAUAGAUCCCAGACGGACUCCUACGUCGCACGAACUCCAGCAGCCGGACCCCUCCAGCGGAUGAACCUCUUCAGCGCCAUCCGACACCCAC
rnacentral:lncRNA from 1 species